AGAAAGGUUAUUGCUCCGUACAUGUCGUCGACCUGCACUAUCCAUCAGACAGAAGAAGCAAAGCAUUGAGCGACAGAAGGGUGAGGGGCUGCCGGCAGAACCCAAACAAGUAUCCCAGUUUCCGAAACCCGAGUAUUCCGACGCUCACAGGAUCCAAUUGCGGUCCGGUCGAUAUCAUCGAUCUUUCUUUUAUGCAAAUUCUCCCCUGAUUUCAUGUUUUCACCCGCUUCGCCUUCAGAUAGAUUGACGGGCCGCUGCUCCGGAUAAGGUGACAUCUCGCAAAUUCGCAAGGAACUCUUCUCAUUUCCCGGGUUUUAUGAUCUUCCGGGGGGUUUUUCGCUGUCAUGUUUCUAUUCUCUAAUUUCUGCCACUCCUAAUUCCUGCUCCCUGUCUUUUCAUAUACUUUUAGCAUACAUUUGACAUUCCUGUAAAAGUAUUCACCUUUUUUUCAUCUUCGUCUUAUGGGACUGGAGCUUGGUCACUUAAAUUGAGCUUUUGGUUAUCUUCACAAAUCUUUUUUCUUUAUUUGAUUUGAUGUUCUUGAGCUAAAUUUUCAAUUGUCAAUGGCCAAUCAACCUCACUCUUCCUUGGGGUACUCUGGCACUGUUCAACCCCCUCACCAAGGUACCCACUCACCUCUUCCGGAUUCAGCACUCAGCUCUCCUCCUUUCCCUUCAACAUCUGGUCCAAGAUUUCCUCCUCCACCAAUAGUACAACCUAACCAGGUUCCUUCUCCAUCUAUUAAGACCCCUAAUCUACCUUCAUCAGCCAAUGGGAUUAGAACUGGAAGCCCUGUUCCUCACCUGAGCACUCCACCUGGACCUCCCAGGUUCUCCCCACCAAUUCAACCUGCUGCUGUGCCUUUUCGAACUUCUCCAGCCGUUCCUCAGCCUGUUGUGUUCUCUUCAGGUUCAUCCCUACCCACUUCAUCUCCUCCCCAUUUUUCUAAUGGGUCUCUUGAGGAGCUGCACCAGACUUCUGGUGAUAGAGAAGAAUGGACAAAUUCUACAGAAUCUCCAAAUGUUGUGUUUUCAGCUUAUAAGGUAUUCAAACAGAAGAAACUAGCAAAUGUUCUGAGUUUAGGGUUUGGUGCAUUAGUUUCCCCAGGCAGGGAGGUAUCCCUAGGUCCUCAAAUAAUUCAGCGUGAUCCCAUUCGCUGUCAUAAUUGUGGGGCCUAUGCCAACCUUUAUUGCAAUAUUUUACCUGGUUCUGGCCAGUGGCAGUGUGUAAUUUGUCGUCAUCUGAAUGCAAGUGAAGGCCGGUAUGUGGCUUCUAGCAAGGAGGAGCUUCGCAAUCUGCCAGAACUGUCAUCACCGUUAGUUGAUUAUGUCCAAACUGGGAAUAAAAGACCUGGUUUUUUCCCAGUCUCAGAUACUAGAGUGUCCGCACCAAUUAUUCUUGUUAUAGACGAGUGUUUAGAUGAACCACACCUGCAGCAUCUACAAAGCUCCUUGCACGCUUUUGUAGAUUCACUACCCCCAACAACAAGACUUGGAAUUAUUGUGUAUGGUCGCACAGUGUCAGUCUAUGAUUUCUCAGAAGAAUCAAUGGCAUCUGCUGAUGUACUUCCUGGUAACAUAUCACCAUCUGAGGAAUCUCUUAAAGCAUUGAUCUAUGGAACAGGGAUAUACCUUUCACCCAUGCAUGCUUCGCUUCCUGUUGCACACUCAAUAUUCUCAUCUCUGAGGCCAUAUAAACUUACUACUCCAGAGGCAUCUAGAGAUCGCUGUCUGGGUACUGCAGUGGAAGUUGCUCUAGCAAUAAUUCAAGGGCCUUCAGCUGAAAUGUCAAGGGGGGUUGUUAAAAGACCUGGAGGAAACAGUAGGAUAAUUGUCUGUGCUGGGGGACCAAAUACAUGUGGGCCUGGUUCAGUUCCUUAUUCAUUUUCUCAUCCAAACUAUCCCCAUAUGGAGAAAACAGCAUUGAAGUGGAUGGAAAAUCUAGGUCGUGAGGCACACAGGCAUAGUACAGUCAUUGACAUAUUAUGUGCUGGUACAUGUCCAGUUCGGGUACCUGUGCUGCAACCUCUUGCAAAAGCUUCUGGUGGUGUUCUGAUUCUCCACGAUGACUUUGGAGAGGCAUUUGGUGUGAACUUACAGAGAGCAUCUGGCAGAGCUGCAGGUUCCCAUGGUUUGCUGGAGAUCCGUUGUUCUGAUGAUAUUUUUAUAAGUCAAGUAAUAGGUCCUGGUGAGGAGUCACAUGUAGACAACCAUGAAAGUUUUAAGAGUGACAAUGCACUUUCCAUUCAGAUGCUUAGUGUUGAAGAGACACAGAGCUUGGCAUUAUGCAUGGAAACCAAGAGAGAUAUCAAGAGUGAUUUUGUGUAUUUUCAGUUUGCAUUUAACUUUUCAGAUGUUUACCAAUCCGAUAUCUCCAGAGUGAUCAGUGCAAGAUUGCCUACAGUGGAUAGCAUUUCAGCCUAUCUUGCAAGUGUUCAAGAUGAAGUGGCUGCUGUUCUUAUUGCCAAGAGGACACUUUUACGUGCCAAGAAUGCCAAUGAUGCUCUUGAUAUGCAAGGAACAGUAGACGAAAGAAUUAAAGAUAUUGCCAUCAAGUUUGGUUCUCAAAUGCCCAAAUCUAAGCUUUAUCAGUUCCCCAAAGAGCUCUCCUUAUUGCCAGAGCUCUUAUUCCAUCUUAGAAGAGGCCCACUUCUUGGAAGCAUUCUUGGUCAUGAAGAUGAGAGGUCUGUGUUGCGGAACUUGUUUCUGAAUGCAUCAUUUGAUUUAUCCCUCAGAAUGAUUGCCCCUCGUUGUCUGAUGCAUCGAGAAGGUGGUACUUUUGAGGAACUACCAGCUUAUGAUCUUGCUAUGCAAUCUGAUGCAGCUGUUGUUCUCGAUCAUGGCACUGAUGUCUUCAUUUGGUUGGGUGCUGAACUAGAUGCUCAAGAUGGAAAGGGUGCUGCAGCGUUGGCAGCUUGUAGAACAUUAGCUGAAGAGCUGACUGAAAUGAGGUUCCCAGCACCACGCAUCCUGGCGUUCAAGGAGGGAAGUUCCCAGGCACGGUAUUUUGUUUCUCGGCUGAUAGCAGCACACAAAGAUCCUCCUUAUGAACAGGAGGCAAGAUUUCCACAGCUUCGAACACUGACAACAGAACAGAGAACAAAACUGAAAAGCAGCUUCCUUCACUUUGAUGAUCCUAGCUUCUGUGAAUGGAUGCGGAGUUUGAAAGUGUUGCCCCCUGAACCAAGCUAGGUGGGCUGUAUAAUCAAAAUUCCUGGAAGAGUGGUGAAAAUCUCAAAGAGGAAUUAAGUUGGGCCAUGCUUUUGUCUUAGUCGCCAUCUCUCAAGAACUUUUCCCCCUCCUUGUCUGACUUUUUUGCAUGCAAAUUGCAGUGCUCACAGAGAUUAAAUUGCAGUCCCCGCUCCCUCAGAACUGUAGNUUUUUUUUUUUUUUUUUGGUUUGGUUUUGUUGAGGUGAUUGAUACCUGAUGUACCUUGUUGCAUUGGUUUUGUAUUUACACAAUUAGCUUGUACACCAUGGCAGAUGAAUAAGGUAGAUUGUUCACUUGAUUUUAUGGUA